rnacentral:rRNA from 1 species
GAUGAACGCUGGCGGCGUGUCUAAGGCAUGCAAGUCGAACGGACUGUUAUUUGUAGCAAUACUUAGAACAGUUAGUGGCAAACGGGUGCGUAACACAUUGGUAACCUGCCUCAAAGUCGGGCAUAAUCCCGCGAAAGUGGGACUAAUUCCACGAUAGUCAUCGAAGGUGAGAUUCCUUCGAUGUAAAGUCGCAAGACGCUUUGAGAGGGGCCUAUGGCCUAUCAGCUAGUUGGUGAGGUAAGAGCUCACCAAGGCGAAGACGGGUAGCUGGUCUGAGAGGAUGAUCAGCCACACUGGAACUGAGACACGGUCCAGACUCCUACGGGAGGCAGCAGUGGGGAAUAUUGCGCAAUGGGCGAAAGCCUGACGCAGCCACGCCGCGUGAGCGAUGAAGGCCUCGGUCGUAAG